AGCAGUAGCACUGGAAGGGGCAGGGUGCCGCGGGCUGGCUCAGCGCCGCUGCCACGAGCAGUAGCCCCUGGAGCCCCGGCUGUCCCGCACGCGGGGCCAUCGCGGCCGACCCCGCAUCCAGCGCCCGGGCCGCCGCGCUCACCAGGGCACCCCCAACACUUAAUUAAGCCUCGAUCUUCAGGCAAGAAAGUCUGUGAUAUGAAUGAAGGGGUAAGUUUGUGGAAAUAGCAUUGGGGUAGAAGCCAGGAGCCAUGAAUUCAAGCCAGCUUUGCCAUAAGCUUGCUGUGUGACCUUGGGCAAGUCCCUUUCCCUCUCUGUUUUAAAGGUUUUCCACUAUAGCACAUUAGCACUGAACUCAGCAUCUGAUAUUGUCUAGUCCAAUAUACAUCUUGCAAAUGGAAAAACAGGCU
rnacentral:lncRNA from 1 species